UGAGGAAUAUUGGCCAAUGGGCGCAAGCCUGAACCAGCCAUCCCGCGUGAAGGAAGAAGGCGCUAUGCGUUGUAAACUUCUUUUCCAGGGGGAGAAUUUUUCCGUCGUGACGGGAAUUGACGGUACUCUGGGAAUAAGCAUCGGCUAACUCCGUGCCAGCAGCCGCGGUAAUACAGAGGAUGCGAGCGUUAUCCGGAUUUAUCGGGUUUAAAGGGUGCGUAGGCGGAUUGAUAAGUCAGUGGUGAAAUUCUGCAGCUUAACUGUAGACUUGCCGUUGAUACUGUCAGUCUUGAGUAUGGUCAAGGCAGGCGGAAUGUGUAAUGUAGCGGUGAAAUGCUUAGAUAUUACACAGAACACCGAUUGCGAAGGCAGCUUGCUGGGCCAUUACUGACGCUGAUGCACGAAAGCGUGGGGAUCGAACAG
rnacentral:rRNA from 1 species